rnacentral:misc_RNA from 1 species
AGACUCAAUCCUCGGGGUUUCCUGGGAUUGGACUUGGGCGUUGCCUCUGGCUCGCCUUAAAUGCCUUAGCUGUGGAAUGUCAGUGGACGUAAUAAGUUUCGUCCCCGAAGCAUGACAUGGCUCAUAACCCCAUCUUUUGA